AAAUUGACUAUGAUAGGAAAAGUAAGUUUAUAGGAGCUAUACAGUGAUUUAGGAGUAGUGAAAACCUAAAUGGUAAAUAUAGACAGAAGGACAUCCUUGAGUUGUUUGCCUGAAAUCUCAGUAGGGUAAAACGGAAAUCCACCGUUAUAAGGACAUGAGUGAAUCAAAUUAUUUUGGAUUAAGCAGGAUGGUACCGUGGAAUAUUACUUCCACUCCUAUA
rnacentral:ncRNA from 1 species